rnacentral:rRNA from 1 species
GUGAGGAAUAUUGCGCAAUGGGCGAAAGCCUGACGCAGCGACGCCGCGUGGAGGAUGAAGGUCUUCGGAUUGUAAACUUCUGUUAAGUGGGAAGAAAGGGCUGUUUUUAAUAGAAGCAGUUAAUGACGGUACCAUUAAAGAAAGCACCGGCUAAACUCGUGCCAGCAGCCGCGGUAAUACGAGUGGUGCAAGCGUUAUUCGGAAUAAUUGGGCGUACAGGGUGUGUAGGCGGUAUGUUAAGUCUGUUGUUAAAGACUCCGGCCUAACCGGAGACAGGCAGCGGAAACUGGCGGAGUAGAGGGUGGAAGAGAGAAGUGGAAUGCUCGGUGUAGCGGUAAAAUGCGUAGAUAUCGAGAGGAACACCGAUGGCGAAGGCAGCUUCUUGGUCCAUACCUGACGCUGAAACACGAAAGCGUGGGGAGCAAACAGGAUUAGAAACCCUUGUAGUCC